rnacentral:misc_RNA from 1 species
AACGCACCUUGCGCUCCUUGGUAUUCCGAGGAGCAUGCCUGUUUGAGUGUCAUUAAAUUCUCAACCACCUCCAGUUUUGCGACUGGUUCGUGUGUUGGAUAGUUGGGGGGUCUGCAGGCCUAUGGUCAGCUCCCCUGAAAUGCAUUAGCAGAACCAUUCACGGUCCAUCGCCGGUGUGAUAAUUAUCUACGCCACAGAUGAAGACUGCGUUUUGCCUGUUCAGCUUCCAAUCGUCUGUAUGUAGACAACUUCUGAACAUUUGACCUCAAAUCAGGUAGGACUACCCGCUGAACUUAA